ensembl:snRNA U5 U5 spliceosomal RNA
AUACUCUUGUUUUUCUUCAGAGUGUACAAAUCUUUUCGCCUUUUAUUAAUGAUUUCCAUGAAGAAGAAUUCUGAGUCUUAAUGCUUUGAGGCCUUGCGUUUGCAGGGC